UACGUAGGGGGCGAGCGUUGUCCGGAUUUAUUGGGCGUAAAGAGCUCGUAGGCGGUUCAGCAAGUCGACUGUGAAAACUCGAGGCUCAACCUCGAGACGCCAGUUGAUACUGCUGUGACUUGAGUUCGGUAGGGGAGCACGGAAUUCCUGGUGUAGCGGUGAAAUGCGCAGAUAUCAGGAGGAACACCGGUGGCGAAGGCGGUGCUCUGGGCCGAAACUGACGCUGAGGAGCGAAAGCGUGGGUAGCGAACAGG
rnacentral:rRNA from 1 species